rnacentral:lncRNA from 1 species
ACCAACUUUGGUUAAUUUAAUGGAAUUGUUGUUAGUAAAUUCUGUGACGCCCCCAAAAUAGGUUCAUUCCAUCCAACCCAUUCUGAGUCGCCAAAUACAUGGUACAGAAAUAACUACAACUUUAUUAUUACAACAUAUAAACUGUGAGUUUAAAUACAGAUAUUGCCGUCUAGACAAUAUCCACACGCAAAUAAAUCCCCAUCAUAAUUAUUGAUACAUUAUUUUACAAAAAUGGUGAGGACUACUAAACAACUCUCUCUAGAACCUUCAUUCCAUACCCCGACUCGUACUCGCUAUAUUCUCGCCUCCUGAGAAGAAAAAUGGAACAAAAAGGAAAAGGGUGAGCUCAACUAGCCCAGUAAAGAAUAUUAUGACUAAGAUAAUAUACAACAAAUUAUCGUUAGUCUUCAACAGGGAAAAAUCUAAUAGAAUACAAUAGACAACAAGUUUUAAAUCAAUAUUCGCAGCGGAAAUAAUAAUUCAUUAGAAGAGUUAAGUAGAGAAUGCAAACUACUAUCUUCUAUGUAUGAAUUUAAAAGUUCAUCGUCUAUCUUUUAUCCCUGUAACAUCAAUCAAUAUAUAUCUGGAAUCAAAUAUUCAUCUUUGCACUACAGGCCAAAGAUAUUCAUCAGUUGGUCAUGUUCAUCUAAACACCUGUUCAUCUUUGCACUACGGGCCAAAGAUAUUCAUCAGAAAUCAUUCAUCUUUGCACUACAGGCCAAAGAUAUUCAAUAAUAUCAUCAUUUAAGACUGAGGAUGAUGAAAAAUUUUUUUAAAGAAACGAAUCCAGUGAAACAAAAUGACAAGGAUUAAGGAUUAAGGAUUCGUACUUUGUUUUAUCCACGUCCAAAAAUACCUCAAAAAUAAUCAUAGUGGAGUAAAAUUCAAGAAUGAUCAAAACAUGGAUACAAUCAAAGCUAGUAUCCAUAAUAGAUAUUUUGGACAAAAAGAAGAAAUUUCAUUUUUCGGUGAAUAGUGCCGUAUUCGUGAAUAGUGCCGUAUACGUGAAUAGUGCCGUAUACGUGAAUAGUAACUCCGACACCAAAAGAUAGAAAUUUCACAAAAAACAUCUUCACGCUUCGUGAAUAGUACUCGUGAAUAGUAACUCGUGAAUAGUAACUCAUGAAUAGUAACUCGUGAAUAGUAACUCAUGAAUAGUAACCCCGACAUGAAAAAGUUCCAAAUUUGAUAAAAAUUUCCAACCAAUAUUUCGGCAUAAUGAUAUUGAAGAAAUAAUAUCAUUUUCGAAUAAAAUAACAUCCCUUACCUCGAAAGACAGUACUUCUAGUUGAAACACCGGAUAUAGGCUAUGACUUGAACUUGCACCGUAUAGCAAUACUCAAAGUAUACUCAAAAUACUCACAAGAAUACGCUCGAUAAUAUAGAGAGAGAAAACUUCAGUUUCUGGUGUGAUUUUCAAUUCUAACCUAAGCACCCUAUUUAUAGGAAAAUGCUUAGAACACCAAAGUAGAAAAUUUAAUAAAUUAAUAUUAUAAUUUUUCCACAACUUCAUACGCACACUAACAAUCUGAAUUCAGCCUCCUAAUCACAUGUUAAAUGAGUUUCAAAAAUGAAAAAAACGUUUUUGUAAUUAAAAAUAUUUUAAACUUCCAAAAAUCAAUUAUUUCGGAACUUCGGAACUUCAAUAAUUCAUAAUAAAUAGCCCUUUUAUCAGAAAAUUCGAAUCUCGCGAAUUUUUAUAGGAAAUUCAAUUCUCUACAACUUUGCAGAAGAAAGUUUUUCCAAAUUCCAAACAGAAAUUGACCGAAAUCCACAAACGGGCGAUUUUACAGGCUAUAAUCAAAUUUCGGUCAAUAAUUGUGUCCACCAACACACAAAAUAUGUGUUAAACAUUUAAUGCCACAAAAAUACUCUUCCUCCUCAUAUACUCAUAUAUCCCACAUUCAUUAUAAAAAUAUCACCGUUAAUAUAUUAUUAAAAUAAUAUAUUUAAAUGAAUUAUUUUAUCAGAAAAAGAUAAAAUAUUAAUUUUCAACAAUUGUCACAUUAAAAAUUUUCUCCAUCUAUAUCCACAUAAAAUCAAUAUUUUCCUCAUCAUAUAAAUCAAUAAUUAAUUAUUCACAAAUAAUAUUACAGAAUCACAGUACUGGCAACCAGGCAGUUCCCAGGAAAGAGGGGGCUUUCCAAUAAGGAUCUCUCCUUACUGGCGCGCAAUUAGGUGACCAAACCUCUCCUUAGACAGAACUUUCUAGACAUUGCCAAUAAUGUUAUCCAAUAAUAUUAUUCAGAUAAUAUGAAUUAUUGCUCCGAUAAUGGAAAAUACUGUGUAAUGACAAUUUAUUGAAACAACAGUAAUAUAAAAUAUCAAUGCAGCAAUUAUUGAAUCAAUAAAAUAAAAUACUGAACAGUAAUUACUGUAACAAUUAUUGAGUAGUGCCUUCUUACGUAAGAAUCAAUAAUUGGUGCAAUACCGUGUGCUACUGUUCAACAACGCGUAUUAGUGUGUUUUAACCACCGGGUAUUCCAACAGUAUUAACGGUAACAACUACGCCGUUAUUUAUAAACAACUUAUAUUUGUCGUUUUCUUCAUCCAAUCGCUUUCCGUUAUGGGGCCCACAAAAGACUGCGCCGUCGUACGAAUAUUCCCCGACAGUACGAAUAUUCCCCGACAAUAAUGAAUAUUUUAUAACCACUUGCUUAUUCGAAAUAUUUGCGUAUUUUACCCAUAACUAUCCACAUUAAUCAAAUCAACCCUUACUAUUUCAAAAAAAUAAAUUGAGGAAAAUAAAUUUCAUUUAUUAAUAAUUUAGGGUCUUACAAAUUCUAUCAAUUUUCAAUUUAUUUAAAGGGUGAAUUGUUUGAGCUUUGCUUUUAUAAUCGAUGUUGGUUUAUUAUUCUUAAUUAUAUUGUUUGGAUUAAUUAGUGAGUUUUAAUUAUUUAACUUGGAUUAAUUAUUUUAUUUGUGUUUAUAUUGAGUUUUAAUUAUUAAUUAUUUUAUUUUGAUUAAGUUCACAUUUUGACUAUAUUUGACAAUUAAUUGUCAACGUUUAUUAUACGAUUUUUAUAUGAUCAACAUUACAUCACGUGAACGGCACAUGCCGACAAAGUUAUGGCCAAAAAUGGUAUUAAAGUCACUUUUGUUACUUCCUCCGUUUUUAAAAGAUUGUCGUUUAAGGUUUUGGCACAUGGAUUAAGAAAGUAUCAUUUUUCAAGUAAAAUUUGUUUGAAAUUGUUGAAAACUAAUUUUUUGGGACAAUGAGAGAAGGUAGGGGUAAUAUAAAAAAAUAAAUAAUUUAUUCUCUUUGAAAGUUGUAAACGACAAACUUUUUGAAUUUUUUUUUUUUUUCUAAAACGACAAUCUUUUAGGAACAGAGGGAGUAACUUAAAUGUAAUUGAGGUUGCUAUUAUUAGUUUUGAUAACUUAGGGGGCUCUUAUGGAAGAUAGGUUAUACGUUGAGGGAUAGAAAUGUAUUUAUCCAAAUACAAAUUAAUAAUCUAAACACAAAAUAUACUCAAUUCAGCAACGCCAUGAAUCACAGCAUUUAUAAUUUCAAAUACUUAUCACCCAACCCAACAGUCCAAAAAUCAGCAGGCAGAAUAAACAAAAUUUGGAUUUCUGAAAGAAUGAGAAGCAGUUGGAGCCUUGGUGGUGAUAUAUAAUCAAACUGAAACUGGUUAAAAAUAAAAAGAAUUUUAUGAAAGUUAUAUGAUCUAAAGAUAAGAGAGAAUCAGAGAAAAAGGGGUACCUGCGCUGGGAAGAAGAAAUGAGAGAAUCAAUCUUAGGGGCAGAAAUGGUGGCACAUAAUAGCAAAGCCCCAACCCCAUAGCCUGCAACCUCACUUGCUGUGAUAUGUUCGAACAUAUUCUCUCUUGUCCGGUAGUCCCUGCAAUCUCUCUCUCUCUCUCUCUCUCUCUCUCUCUAUAUAUAUAUAUAUAUAUAUAUAUAUAUUUCUCUAUCUCCACCCAAAUAGUGAAAUAGCCAGGAUUAGAAUCAGUAGCAAUAUCUGCCUUAUCACAAGUGAAGAAACAAAGUUAGAUUAUAAGAAGAAGUGGCCUAUUAGCUCAGCUGGUUAGAGCUAAUAACGCGAAGGUCGUAGGUUCGAAACCUGCAUGGGCCAAUAUUCUAAUUUUUGACAACCACACACAACGUUCGUGCUUGAAACAUUCUUGGCGUAUAUAUAUCUUGCAAUUUUUUUUUUUUAUUUUCACUAUA